rnacentral:lncRNA from 1 species
UGGGCAUUGAGGGAGCGAGUCAGACUCCAGCUCUCCCGCUUUGUACGCCAUGAUUCGUGCACCUGUUGUGAGGGGACAUUCCAAAGGUUCGUUUGAAUUGCAUGUGACGUGAAUUCCGACCGGAGGUCUUGUGAUGGUCUUGAGAGGUCUCAACUACAACUCUGAUGGUUUGUGUACGGACUACAAUUUAAUUCAAGCAUGUCUGUCUACUUACAUGCCGUGCAUGCCCAGCGACUCCCACAGUACUGCCGUGGUGAUGAUGGUCAAAAUCAGAGGAAAGCCUAAAGUGUUUAAACAGGGAUGUACAUCUUGAGCCGCUCAGCAUGGACAAAGACUACGAUGACCUGGAAGUAGAUCUGCACUCCCUCGAUCAGCAUCCAGCAG